rnacentral:rRNA from 1 species
AGAGUUUGAUCAUGGCUCAGGACGAACGCUGGCGGCGCGCCUAACACAUGCAAGUCGAACGAGAAUCAGCUGAUGAAGUUUUCGGAUGGAUUUGGUUGAGGAAAGUGGCGAACGGGCGAGUAACGCGUGAGCAACCUACCUUGUACUGGGGGAUAACGUCGGGAAACCGGCGCUAAUACCGCAUAACAUUACGAUAGCGCAUGUUAUUGUAAUCAAAGCGUUAGCGGUACGAGACGGGCUCGCGUCCAAUUAGCUAGUUGGUGAGGUAAAGGCUCACCAAGGCGACGAUUGGUAGCCGAACUGAGAGGUUGAUCGGCCGCAUUGGGACUGAGACACGGCCCAGACUCCUACGGGAGGCAGCAGUGGGGAAUAUUGCGCAAUGGGGGAAACCCUGACGCAGCGACGCCGCGUGAAGGAAGAAGGCCUUCGGGUUGUAAACUUCUUUGAUCGGGGACGAAAAUGACGGUACCCGAGGAACAAGCCACGGCUAACUACGUGCCAGCAGCCGCGGUAAUACGUAGGUGGCGAGCGUUGUCCGGAAUUACUGGGCGUAAAGGGCGUGUAGGCGGGGGGACAAGUCAGAUGUGAAAUACCGCGGCUUAACUGCGGGGGUGCAUCUGAAACUGUUCUUCUUGAGUGUCGGAGAGGAAAGUGGAAUUCCCAGUGUAGCGGUGAAAUGCGUAGAGAUUGGGAGGAACACCAGUGGCGAAGGCGGCUUUCUGGACGAUAACUGACGCUGAGGCGCGAAAGCGUGGGGAGCAAACAGGAUUAGAUACCCUGGUAGUCCACGCUGUAAACGAUGGAUACUAGGUGUAGGAGGUAUCGACCCCUUCUGUGCCGGAGUUAACACAAUAAGUAUCCCGCCUGGGGAGUACGGCCGCAAGGCUGAAACUCAA